CGAACUGUGCGAACGUUAUUCGGAAUCACUGGGCUUAAAGGGUGCGUAGGCGGUUACUCAAGUCAGGUGUGAAAUCUCUCGGCUCAACCGGGAAACUGCGCUUGAAACUGGGUGACUGGAGGGAUGCAGGGGUGUGUGGAACUUCCGGUGGAGCGGUGAAAUGUGUAGAUAUCGGAAGGAACGCCAGCAGCGAAAGCGGCACACUGGGCAUUUACUGACGCUGAGGCACGAAAGCUAGGGGAGUGAACGGGAUUAGAUACCCCGGUAAUCCUAGCCGUAAACACUGAGCACUGGGGGAGGGAGGCUUCGGCCUUCUUUCCCGUAGCGAAAGCGUUAAGUGCUCCGCCUGGGGAGUAUGGUCGCAAGGCUG
rnacentral:rRNA from 1 species